rnacentral:rRNA from 1 species
AGGGUGACGAGGUGGUGCAUGGUUGUCGUCAGCUCGUGUCGUGAGAUGUUGGGUUAAGUCCCGCAACGAGCGCAACCCUCGACCUUAGUUGCCAGCAUUCAGUUGGGCACUCUAAGGUGAACUGCCGGCUAAAAGUCGGAGGAAGGUGGGGAUGACGUCAAAUCAUCAUGCCCCUUAUGUUCUGGGCUACACACGUGCUACAAUGGCCGGUACAGACGGACGCAAAGCCGCGAGGUGGAGCAAAUCCUAAAAAAGCCGGUCUCAGUUCGGAUUGCAGGCUGCAAUUCGCCUGCAUGAAGUCGGAAUCGCUAGUAAUCGCAGGUCAGCAUACUCGCGGUUCCGAAUACGUUCCGGGCCUU